CAUAUGCACUUGCAAACGCAGUCUUCAGUCUCCUCAUGAAUGUUUACGCGUCGCUGUCGCACGACCAAGAUGUGAGCGUCUUUAUCGAGCCAUGAUAUCGCUGAAACUACGCUGUGACCUCGCAAAGUUGCUUCGUUCGGACGCAGCGAAUAAUCUAAUCGCACCAGCAGAAGAGCGCCGAUCGUCUCGCUCACGGUCCCGAUUUGUGUACUGUACCCUCAGUGAUGCAGCACAGACUGCGCCCCCCACCCCAAAAUAAAAUGCCCGGCACGAAACGUAGUAGCAACUACCCGCCUCACCGCUCUAGUUAGAGACCACAACGAAGCAGCAGCAAACAGGCGGCCAUGCGAGCAAGCAAACCUGUCAGAAUAAACGUUCAAUUUGCGCGGCCGCCCCAUGCCCAAUGAAAAGCGACCGGAAGUGACGGCCGACGCUGUACCAUCACUUCGGCGCGCGGCAGGACGGGAAGGCGGAAGCUGCGCCAUCAUGCUCGUUUUCGCGUGCGUUCGCGUCGCGCGCUGUGCGAAGUAAUUUUAAACGUGUGAUUAGUUUUGCGCGCGGGGUAGAAAAAGAUGUGGCCCAUGCUUUGUGUAUUACUCGUGCCCCACUUCAAAGCAAAGCGUUCGUACGCACUGGAAGAUGGAUCCACGAAGGCUGAAACGAGAAGUUGCAACGUGCCCGGUCGGUAGUACUGGCAAGAUGGAAACUUUCAGCGAGUGUUCCCGCCUGAAAGCCGAGUUUGGUUUCAAGCCACCCUGGACAACUGCUGUAUGAGGCGCCGUUUCUCGGGAGGACCAGUGGGAAGGCGCCAAGUAUACGCUUCGUCCUUUUUCCUCCCAUGCCCUGAUGAAUCGAUAUCCUUGUUUUUUAUUGUGAAAGGAACGUUACAUCCAGAGCAUAAAUAAAUGAUUAAGAAAUCUGGUAGUGUGUUUCGCCAUUACAAUAAUUCCGAUCUUAAAGACGUGGAUUUCCCAUUAGCCCACAUUUCUUUUGAUGCAGACAACCGCUGAAAUUGUUAGCGGCAGGUUAUUCGAGACGUUCUACGUAUAUAGCAAUUGUCUUCAGGAGCUUUAAUGAAUUUUGAAAAUUUGAAGUGUUGUGCUUUAGAGGUAUCAUAUACAAGCUUUAGGUCUCCGGGUAAUUUGCAUGCCCUUCGAGAGCUGUCGCCUAUAGCCCUAUUGAAAUUCGUAACUACAGUUUGGAGCACUGGGGAAGCUAGAAGGCUUGUCCUGGCUCUCGAGAAAGUGUUUAAGCUGGAGGUGUAGGUUGAGGAGUUUGGGGUUGGUAACACAAAGGAUUUUUUAUGCCUUAGCAGUAGGAGUGACACAGGAUAAAAAAAAUGUAUGUGUGUCAAGCACAGGAAGCUGCUCAUGUGGUAGAAGCAUGUGUGUGCGUGUGUGUGAAUUCUCUCUCCUCAAAAGGGAGUAUGUGUGUAAGUGAGCUAUUUCAUUGCUGGUCUGUUUGCCAAGAAUUGGCAAGAAAACACAAUAAUCAAUUUAACUUGAAAUAAUAAACUUCAAAGCAUACUGGCGUACUGGCGACAGCAGCAUACAAGCAUGCAGCUGUGUGACAAUCUUAAUGCAUGACUGCAACAUCUGGAAGGAGGCUUGCUUCUUCUUCAGUAAGCAGCACAAAGUCCAUAUUCUUGGCUUUUCUCGUGCAAACCAAAACGAGGCUCAUUGCCAAUGAUCUUGUCUUUUGCUCUAAUAGCAUUUGUUUAUCUUGUACUUAGAGCGUCGUUUCUCGCAGGUCAUGCAGAUGGUAGCAGCAAUUUCACAAUGCCCAGCCUUGGCGCCCCCCAUCAAGAGCAAGCCACUUGCGUUCGCCUUCAGACAGAUGGUUAAUGUCUUCUUGAAAGCGGUUGAGAAGACAACAUUGAUGCAAGAUUCCAGCAAUGCCAUGUGCUGCAUUUAUUGGUCAAGAUGCUCAGAGAAUGGAGUCCCUGCACCUCGUGGUUAACCGUGAACAUUUCUUUUUCUUUUGGAAAGCUAAAGGCCAUUUGCUGCAUCACUUGCAUUUUUGCAGCUCAGAUGUGUACUAUAUUUUUCUAAUUUUGAAUCAAUAUUGGCUGUUCAGUAUAAAAAAUGACGUACAGCGUGAAGGACAAGGACUGCAAGAGACACACUCUACUCACUUUCAACAAUAUUUUAUUGCGUUGCCACAUCGUGUGUGUAUACACAGAGGGGUCAUGCGCAGAAAAUGAAAGCCAGUCACAAGGGGUGUUCUAACAGCAAGUCAUUGUAAAAAGAACAUGGUCACUUGAAAAAAAAAACAUCACAAUUUCUAUCUGUUUAGAUACAAAAUUUCACUAGGGGUCAGCGUGAUAG